rnacentral:rRNA from 1 species
CCUUAGAGUUUGAUCCUGGCUCAGGAUGAACGCUAGCGACAGGCCUAACACAUGCAAGUCGAGGGGUAACAGGGGCUUCGGCCCGCUGACGACCGGCGCACGGGUGAGUAACGCGUAUGCAACCUGCCUGUAACAGCGGGAUAGCUCCCUGAAAGGGGAAUUAACACCGCAUAAGACCACGCUCUCGCAUGGGGACGGGGUAAAAUACUUAUAGGUUACAGAUGGGCAUGCGUGACAUUAGUUAGUUGGUGAGGUAACGGCUCACCAAGACUGCGAUGUCUAGGGGUUCUGAGAGGAAGGUCCCCCACACUGGAACUGAGACACGGUCCAGACUCCUACGGGAGGCAGCAGUGAGGAAUAUUGGUCAAUGGACGCAAGUCUGAACCAGCCAUGUCGCGUGCAGGAUGACUGCCCUAUGGGUUGUAAACUUCUUUUGCAAGGGAAUAAAGUGGGGGACGUGUCCUCCUUUGCAUGUACCUUGCGAAUAAGGAUCGGCUAACUCCGUGCCAGCAGCCGCGGUAAUACGGAGGAUCCGAGCGUUAUCCGGAUUUAUUGGGUUUAAAGGGUGCGCAGGCGGGAUGUUAAGUCGGCGGCGAAAUUUUGCAGCUCAACUGUAAAAGUGCCUUCGAUACUGGCUUUCUUGAGUGUGGAUGAAGUAGGCGGAAUUUGUGGUGUAGCGGUGAAAUGCUUAGAUAUCACGAGGAACUCCGAUUGCGCAGGCAGCUUACUAAACCACUACUGACGCUCAUGCACGAAGGCGUGGGGAUCAAACAGGAUUAGAUACCCUGGUAGUCCACGCAGUAAACGAU